GGGAUGCAUCCUUCCCAUGAAGAUGACAAAGGACCAGAGCAAGGAGAAAAACCACAGGAAGGGGACAACUUCCAGGGCCCAAGCAUGGACUCUUGUCUAAUUCUCAGAAAUGACUUCCACCAUUACCAUCACUGAAACAGUUCAAAUUUGCAAAGUCUGUUGUUUUCCAAAAGCUUUCAGUGGAAUAUCCAUCCGCAGUAGCACCCAUCCAUCGUCUUUAUUCUGCCCUUCAUACUGCAGGAAUCAACCCUUUUUACAUGAACCUCUGAAUCUGUUUAAAGUGGAGCUCCUGUAAGAGGGAGAGUCUGCCGAAGCCACCAGUACCACGUUUCCAACUCAAGCUCUCAGAAAAUGAUUUUUCUUGCCUGAUAAAGCCUUUUGAUUUGGUUUUUAAUUUUUGAACUUGAAAGAGUUUAUAUUCCAAAGAGCAAAUGUGGAACAAACAAAUAACAGUAUCAAAAAAUGAAAUGGAGGCGUUCUCUUAUAGGACA